rnacentral:lncRNA from 1 species
GAAUUUCGUUGAAUUGGAGUAGCAGGAAGUGAUUGAGGUGAAAAACGGAAUCUUCUGAGCAAAUUAGCAGAUUCUUUUCGGAGAAACAUCAUUUGAUUAAGUCCAAAAUUGAACUACGUGAAUUUGAAAAUUAAAGAAAAACUAUGAAUUUAUUGUUAGGUUUAUCGGUCAAGGAACUAUUAAAAAUAUGUCAUAUUUAUAUUCCAUUUGAAUUUUUUAUCAAACACUUUUCUAUAUUUUUUAGUAGCAUGUAUCAUGUUAUGAUUGGACAUGAUUGGACCAGAUGAUACACCUCAUUUCUUUAAUUAAACCCGCUCAGACCCAAUCCUUUUAACAGACGGUCAGACUCAAUUCCAAAUUGACACGUGGCAAAAAUCUGUAGAUACACAACUGAAAUAGCUAACCCAUAUCCAAAAUUUGGAUCUUUCCUCCUAAAACAAAUCAAACUAUGUACCAUCUUUUCCGAUAUCAGGAAAAAAAAGGAAAUUUUAUGAUACAAUCAUCUUCAACAUCUCCUUCUUCCUCAUCCCUACCCAAAAACGGACAAACUCUUAUCAAGAAACUUGUUGAAUCUCGGCUCUUAGCAUCUCCUUAAAACAAAUAUAUGGAACUAGCUGUAGGC